rnacentral:rRNA from 1 species
GACGAACGCUGGCGGCGUGCCUAAUACAUGCAAGUCGAGCGCUUCUUUCCUCCCGAGUGCUUGCACUCAAUUGGAAAGAGGAGUGGCGGACGGGUGAGUAACACGUGGGUAACCUACCCAUCAGAGGGGGAUAACACUUGGAAACAGGUGCUAAUACCGCAUAACAGUUUAUGCCGCAUGGCAUAAGAGUGAAAGGCGCUUUCGGGUGUCGCUGAUGGAUGGACCCGCGGUGCAUUAGCUAGUUGGUGAGGUAACGGCUCACCAAGGCCACGAUGCAUAGCCGACCUGAGAGGGUGAUCGGCCACACUGGGACUGAGGCACGGCCCAGACUCCUACGGGAGGCAGCAGUAGGGAAUCUUCGGCAAUGGACGAAAGUCUGACCGAGCAACGCCGCGUGAGUGAAGAAGGUUUUCGGAUCGUAAAACUCUGUUGUUAGAGAAGAACAAGGACGUUAGUAACUGAACGUCCCCUGACGGUAUCUAACCAGAAAGCCACGGCUAACUACGUG